rnacentral:rRNA from 1 species
GGUACGAUGCGCCUAAUCCGCUUUCGCAAGGAAGUGUGUAUUGGAGCGUAUCUGCCAUCCUUCUAGUUAACUGGCUGUACUUAACUGUGCGGUCAGCGACCUAGAUCUUUUACUUUGAAAAAAUUAGAGUGUUUAAAGCAGGCUUGCGCUAUGAAUACAUUAGCAUGGAAUAAUAAUUUAGGACUUUUCUCCUAUUUUAUUGGUUUCUAGGGGUAAAGUA